rnacentral:lncRNA from 1 species
AGAAAAGUUCAUGGACCCCAGAAACAAGCUGCCUCCCUUGGGGAUGAGCAGGGUGGGUGGAGGCCUCGCAGUGCACCUUGUUCCUGUCCUGCUCCCUGCUCAGCUUUGGCCUGCAGCAGGAGACAGAGGAGUGGCUGCCUGUCCCCGCCCUACUCCUCCAGGAGGAGAUGGCCGCUGGGGACAGGAGUGGUCUGAAGGGAAUUAAGGACCAUCUGCAGGCUCAGUCCCUUCCUCAGGACAACCCCAGGCUCCCUCUGGGGUCCUCCCUGGUGGCUCUGUGAGGAUUAAUGGCCCUCUCUGCCAGGCUCUAAUGGAUCCGUAAUCCGCUUGCUUCAUUAGGGUCUGCUGUCUGGGGAGGUUAAUUGUGCACUUGGGGACAUGGCAAAUGAAGCUCUGUUGUGAGGCUCUGAGAUCAGAGACCUUCUGCAUGCACGGCAAGGCUGUCCUGACAGUCAGACCCUGCCCCAUCCCUAGAAGCCAGAAUUUGGCCAGUGAAUUAGUAUUAUUUAUAUUCUUCAUUUAUCAUGUUUGAAGGCCUUCAGGAAGUAAUUCUUCACUUUUGCUGGGUUGUGAGCUUGAUUGAGGAUAUAAAAACCACGCACAUUUAUAUAGCCCCACUGAGCCUGCACCCUGUUUCAGGGGUGGGUAUUGCAGACUCUCUGAGCCCAUUCCUGCCCCCGCUUGGAAAGUUCAUGGGGACAUCUGUAAGGUGAGCCUUCUGUUCAUUCACUCAUUUAUUUAUUCCUUGAAAUUAUUUAACAAAUAUUUAUUGAGCAUCUCCUUGCGCCAGGGGCAUUUCCUGUCUUUCACUGGGCUUCUCUUUUGUUCAAUCUUUUGUCAAGUUUCAAACCAGCCCUACAGUGAUUCUGAGUCAGAAGCGUCUUUUGAGAAAACAGCUGUGGUAAUUG